AAGUCGUAACAAGGUUUCCGUAGGUGAACCUGCGGAAGGAUCAUUAACACUUAAAAUAAAAACAAUUUCCCUUUUGAAUCCCUCUCUUUUCUUUUCUCUUUCUCUUCUCUUCGGAGGGGAGACUGGGGAAGUCAAGAGAUUUUCAAAUUUAAUUUGAACAAAAAUGUGUAACCUUACUUUUUUACUUAUGGAUUUGAGGGCAAGAAAAGAGGGAGUUUUCAACUCUCUCUCUUCGUGGUUCUCAGAUUUUCUCAUAAACCAGUUAAACCCAAUAAAUCAAAAUAUGGCGUAUCUCAAAGGGACUUUUUGUCUCUCUGACGAUCCCCCAUAGUUAAACCAAAAACCAAAAACCAAAAACCAAAAACAAAAAACUAAAAAAUAAAACACAACUCUUAACAAUGGAUAUCUUGGUUCUCGC
rnacentral:misc_RNA from 1 species